GGAGGGUACAGCUCAGUGGCAGAGUGCUUGCUUAGCAUGCAUGAGGUCCUGGGUUCAAUCCCCAGCACCUCCA
rnacentral:tRNA from 1 species